rnacentral:rRNA from 1 species
GACGAACGCUGGCGGCGUGCUUAACACAUGCAAGUCGAACGGAAAGGCCCUGCUUUUGUGGGGUGCUCGAGCGGCGAACGGGUGAGUAACACGUGAGUAACCUGCCCUUGACUUUGGGAUAACUUCAGGAAACUGGGGCUAAUACCGGAUAGGAGCUCCUGCUGCAUGGUGGGGGUUGGAAAGUUUCGGCGGUUGGGGAUGGACUCGCGGCUUAUCAGCUUGUUGGUGGGGUAGUGGCUUACCAAGGCUUUGACGGGUAGCCGGCCUGAGAGGGUGACCGGCCACAUUGGGACUGAGAUACGGCCCAGACUCCUACGGGAGGCAGCAGUGGGGAAUAUUGCACAAUGGGCGGAAGCCUGAUGCAGCAACGCCGCGUGCGGGAUGACGGGCUUCGGGUUGUAAACCGCUUUCGCCUGUGACGAAGCGUGAGUGACGGUAAUGGGUAAAGAAGCACCGGCUAACUACGUG